AAAUUUUUAGUUUAAUUAAGAAUUAUUCAUUUACAAUGAAAGGGUUGAAAAUUUUU
rnacentral:tRNA from 1 species